rnacentral:rRNA from 1 species
CCUACGGGAGGCAGCAGUGAGGAAUAUUGGUCAAUGGCCGGAAGGCUGAACCAGCCAUGCCGCGUGAAGGGCAGGGACCUAUGGGCGUUAAACUUCUUUUGUGCGGGAGCAAAAAUGGUCACGUGUGGCCAGACGAGAGUACCGUACGAAUAAGCAUCGGCUAACUCCGUGCCAGCAGCCGCGGUAAUACGGGGGAUGCAAGCGUUAUCCGGAUUUAUUGGGUUUAAAGGGUGCGUAGGCUGUGAGGUAAGUCAGCGGUGAAAUGCCCCCGCUCACCGGGGUGAAGUGCCAUUGAUACUGCCUUGCUGUACUGCGGAUGCCGUGUGCGGAAUGUGUGGUGUAGCGGU